GGGCUUGUGGCGCAGUUGGUAGCGCGCAUGCCUUGCAAGCAUGAGGUCAUCGGUUCGACUCCGGUCAAGUCCA
rfam:Wickerhamomyces ciferrii, NRRL Y-1031 F-60-10, WGS project CAIF01000000 data, contig: 00243